rnacentral:lncRNA from 1 species
AUGGCACUGUCUGGAAUGAUAACAUUUGGGUUGUGUGUAGUCUUAAUUGAUUGUUUAAAUGGACAAAUUACGCACCCUGAUCCUGUGGUAUUUAAGGCAAGUGGUAGAGCAGCUCGAGUCCAAUGCAAAGUGGAUUCAUCGACACUUCGGUCCAGCGUUAUCCACUGGUACAGAGCUCCACCGAAGGGAGCUCUCCAACGUUUAAUGUAUUUCGAAGCUGGUUCGCCAAAGGCCACAAAAGACCCCGAUACCCCCCGUAGAUUUUCUGGAUCGGUGAGCGGCGAUGUAGUGGCACUGACUAUCUCAAAGCUGGAGCCCAGUGAUGAGGGAUCGUAUUACUGCGCGCUCUGGAGUGGAGACAACACAGUGCUAACUAUGAGAGGAAAUCAUUACAAAAACCUGCUUUCAUCAUCAAAGCGCUUUUAUUUGAACAGCAGCAAGGAGGAGACAUUAGACAUUUUCAUCAUCAAAGCGCUUUUAUUUUGAACAGCAGCAAGGAGGAGACAUUAGACAUAUUUUUACUGUGAUGUUGCUCUUUCUUGUCAAGAUUUAAUUAAAGAAUAAGGUUAAAUGUUCCAAAAGUGUAUUGUCUCAGAAGAAAGAACCACAAAGUUCCACAAUGUUUGCUAGAUAGGCUACUGUACCAUAUUGACUGUUAACAAUAAUAAAGCUGUAUCUUCUGCUAAUUAAAAUGUGAUUUUGUUUCAACACAAGUUAUUACUUGUUAUGUUAUGUCUUAAUUCUAAUUUUUCUAAAAUGUAUUUUAUGAAUAGGUUUCAUUUUACGUCACAGUUUCGGAUCUCAAUCUUAAUUUUCCAACAUUUUCAUCUUAAUCAUUUUACAUUUACAUUUAAAAUAACAUUUGUUUUAAUCUUAAUCAUAAUAACUAUGUUGACAAUUAUUUCUUAUGUUAACAUUUUUUAAUAAUUCAGGGCAUUCAAAUUACAGCUGUCCCACAGCUGUGGCUAACUGCUUCCACAAUCAACAUUUUUGCCCAUAAUAAAGUUCUAUUGAACAUU